UACGGAGAGUUUGAUCCUGGCUCAGGAUGAACGCUGGCGGUAUGCUUAACACAUGCAAGUCGAACGGGAUACUUCGGUAUCUAGUGGCGGACGGGUGAGUAACGCGUGAGAAUCUGGCUUUAGGUUCGGGACAACAGUGGGAAACUGCUGCUAAUACCGGAUGUGCCUUAGGGUGAAAGAUUAAUUGCCUGAAGAAGAGCUCGCGUCUGAUUAGCUAGUUGGUGAGGUAAAGGCUCACCAAGGCGACGAUCAGUAACUGGUCUGAGAGGAUGACCAGUCACACUGGGACUGAGACACGGCCC
rnacentral:rRNA from 15 species